rnacentral:rRNA from 1 species
CGUAACAAGGUCUCCGUUGGUGAACCAGCGGAGGGAUCAUUACUGAGUUACCGCUCUAUAACCCUUUGUGAACAUACCUACAACUGUUGCUUCGGCGGGUAGGCCGUCCCCUGAAAAGGACGCCUCCCGGCCCGGACCGGACCCCCCGUGGGGCCGGACUCGGCGCCCGCCGGAGGAUAACCAAACGCUAUUUUAACGACGUUUCUUCUGAGUGGCAUAAGCAAAAUAAUCAAAACUUUUAACAACGGAUCUCUUGGUUCUGGCAUCGAUGAAGAACGCAGCGAAAUGCGAUAAGUAAUGUGAAUUGCAGAAUUCAGUGAAUCAUCGAAUCUUUGAACGCACAUUGCGCCCGCCAGCAUUCUGGCGGGCAUGCCUGUUCGAGCGUCAUUUCAACCCUCAAGCUCUGCUUGGUGUUGGGGCUCUACGGUCGACGUAGGCCCUCAAAGGUAGUGGCGGACCCUCCCGGAGCCUCCUUUGCGUAGUAACAUUUCGUCUCGCACUGGGAUCCGGAGGGACUCUUGCCGUAAAACCCCCCAAUUUUCAAGGUGACCUCGAUCAGUAG